rnacentral:rRNA from 1 species
GAGUUUGAUCCUGGCUCAGAACGAACGCUGGCGGCGUGCUUAACACAUGCAAGUCGAACGGGAUCCAGAGCUUGCUCUGGUGAGAGUGGCGCACGGGUGAGUAACGCGUGGAUAACCUGCCCUGGUAUCUGGAAUAACAUCUCGAAAGGGGUGCUAAUACCGGAUAAGCCCACGGCUCCUUCGGGAGCUGCGGGAAAAGGUGGCCUCUAUUUAUAAGCUACCGUAUCAGGAUGGGUCCGCGUACCAUUAGCUAGUUGGUGGGGUAAUGGCCUACCAAGGCGACGAUGGUUAGCUGGUCUGAGAGGAUGAUCAGCCACACUGGAACUGAGACACGGUCCAGACUCCUACGGGAGGCAGCAGUGGGGAAUUUUGCGCAAUGGGGGAAACCCUGACGCAGCAACGCCGCGUGAGUGAUGAAGGCUUUCGGGUCGUAAAGCUCUGUCAGAGGGGAAGAAAUGGGUCUGGCUAAUAUCCAGAUUCCUUGACGGUACCCUCAAAGGAAGCACCGGCUAACUCCGUGCCAGCAGCCGCGGUAAUAC